rnacentral:rRNA from 1 species
UACGUAGGGUGCAAGCGUUAAUCGGAAUUACUGGGCGUAAAGCGUGCGCAGGCGGCUGUGCAAGGCAGAGGUGAAAUCCCCGGGCUCAACCUGGGAACUGCCUUUGUGACUGCACGGCUAGGGUACGGCAGAGGGGGAUGGAAUUCCGCGUGUAGCAGUGAAAUGCGUAGAUAUGCGGAGGAACACCGAUGGCGAAGGCAAUCCCCUGGGCCUGUACUGACGCUCAUGCACGAAAGCGUGGGGAGCAAACAGG